rnacentral:rRNA from 1 species
AAUCAACGCUGGCGGCGUGCCUAACACAUGCAAGUCGCACGAGAAAGGGUAGCAAUACCUGAGUAAAGUGGCGCACGGGUGAGUAGCACGUGACUAAUCUACCCUCGAGUGGGGAAGUAACUAGAGAGAAAUACUUAGCUAAUAACCGCAUAACAACUUACGAGUCAAAGACAGCAAUAGCGCUUGGGGUAGGGAGGUCGCGGCCGAUUAGCUAGUUGGCGGGG